rnacentral:rRNA from 1 species
GACGAACGCUGGCGGCGUGCUUAACACAUGCAAGUCGAACGGAAAGGCUCCAGCUUGCUGGAGUACUCGAGUGGCGAACGGGUGAGUAACACGUGGGUAAUCUGCCCUGCACUCUGGGAUAAGCCUGGGAAACUGGGUCUAAUACUGGAUAUGACCUUUCUCCUUAUGGGGUUUGGUGGAAAGUUUUUCGGUGUAGGAUGAGCCCGCGGCCUAUCAGCUUGUUGGUGGGGUGAUGGCCUACCAAGGCGACGACGGGUAGCCGGCCUGAGAGGGUGAUCGGCCACAUUGGGACUGAGAUACGGCCCAGACUCCUACGGGAGGCAGCAGUGGGGAAUAUUGCACAAUGGGCGGAAGCCUGAUGCAGCAACGCCGCGUGAGGGAUGACGGCCUUCGGGUUGUAAACCUCUUUCAGCAGGGACGAAGCGUAAGUGACGGUACCUGCAGAAGAAGCACCGGCUAACUACGUG